GCCUGGAUAGCUCAUUUAGUUAGAGUGUGGUGCUGAUAACGCCAAGGUUGCAGGUUCGAUCCCCGUAUGGGACA
rnacentral:tRNA from 1 species